CAGCACCUCAAGUGGUCAGGAUGAUUAUUGGGCCUAAAGCAUCCGUAGCCGGCGCUGUAAGUUUUCGGUUAAAUCUGUACGCUCAACGUACAGGCUGCCGGGAAUACUGCAGAGCUAGGGAGUGGGAGAGGUAGACGGUACUCGGUAGGAAGGGGUAAAAUCCUUUGAUCUAUUGAUGACCACCUGUGGCGAAGGCGGCCUACCAGAACACGUCCGACGGUGAGGGAUGAGAGCUGGGGGAGCAAACCGGAUUAGAUACCCGAGUAGUCC
rnacentral:rRNA from 1 species